rnacentral:rRNA from 1 species
UACGUAGGGGGCAAGCGUUGUUCGGAAUUACUGGGCGUAAAGGGCGCGUAGGCGGCACGGCAAGUCAGGAGUGAAAGGCCUGGGCUCAACCGGGGAACUGCUUUUGAGACUGCCGAGCUAGAGUGCGGAAGGGGCAACCGGAAUUCCCAGUGUAGCGGUGAAAUGCGUAGAUAUUGGGAAGAACACCUGAGGCGAAGGCGGGUUGCUGGGCCGACACUGACGCUGAGGCGCGAAAGCCAGGGGAGCAAACGGG